UAGCCCACAUGUUAGUUGAGGAACAGCUUCAAGCUGAUCAUUCAGAGCCUAUGCUCAGCCCUUGGAACACACCCAUCUUUGUCAUUAAGAACAAAUCUGGUAGUUGGAGAUUAUUCCAAGACCUUAGAGCUAUUAAUCAUGUCAUAGAGCCCAUGGGAGCAUCACAAUCUGGGCUUCCUUCUCCUCCAGUUAUUCCUUUAGAUUAUUAUUUGAUAGAAGUAGAUCUAAAAGACUGUGUUUUUUCUCUAUACUUUCCAUCCAUAUGACUGUAAAAAGUUUGCCUUUAG
rnacentral:sRNA from 1 species